CGAUACAAAGUGUCUAUUAUAUUGACACAAAUAUACCACUCAGCAAGAAAUGUUAUCUGUAACAACAUUAAGCAUGAGCAAGAUUAUCUAUGGAAACAAAGAAGUCAAAUCAAAUGACCAGAUAAUAGCCUAGCUCAAGCAUAUAGUACACAUCUAUUCAGAAUAAAUAAAUGACGUUAGAUGGCAUUCUCUCAAUUCCUAUAACAACCAUGUGCCUGACGCCGGGUAUGAAGGUUGUUAUCCUCUUGAUCAAAGAUACCAACACCAUAAUUAGGUAUUUAGGUAGUUGCACGUGGACUCAUUGCACUUUCAUCUUGCUGGGGAGCUUUUGUCUUCAUCUUUGCAUGCACGUCUCAUGGAUCGCUGAUCCCUGAGUCUUAGUCAUGAACAUUGACAUAACUUCCAAUCAGUAAAAUAAUCAGGGUUAUUAAAUAUGGAGAGAUGGGACAGUGGACAUGUAUCCGCUGAUAGACUUUCUAUGACGCAGAUGCAUAUGGAGAGAUGGUGCCAUAAAGUCAAAAAUAAUCAGGGUCCUUAAAUAUGAAGAGAAAAAUAUCGGGUAUGCUAAUAAUAUGAGAUACCAAACUAAUUGUAAAAUCAAAACAUAAUAUAAAGCCAAUAGGGCUUAUAGUUGUUAUACCUCAUGAUCAAUUUGAGGCGGUAUAUGAAAACAGUGCAUGUCAGGUAUCAACACAAUUUUCCUUUUUAGUAAGGGGACCUUCCAAUCAAAAAAUUAGCAUUAGAAAUUUUAGUGUGAAUAUUUAUAGAUGUUUAUUUUUACUGGGAUUAAUUAAACCUAAACCAGAUAGAACGACAUGCCAGCUACUUGCAGAGCAGAAAACUAUAGUAGCUAUCCAUGAGGAUAUCUGCCAAAGUUAGUUGGGCCGUGAACCAACCUGUGGUUGGAUGGUUAGAGGGACUGUGGUAUCCCCACCCCACGAGGGUUCAAGUCCUGGUGCUCGCAUUUAUUCCUGAAAUUAUUUCAGGAUUUCCGGCGAUGCGCAUCCAGUGGAGGAGACGUUCCCGUUGAUGACGAGGUGCCUAUGAUGACUUCAUAAAUUUUAAGAUGAUAUGCCGGCUCGGUCUUUCAGAGGUGCUCAUAGGGGUAAGGUGUGCGCGUGUGCGUUCAUAGGGGUGAGUGUAUGCGCGUGUAUAUGAGCGCUUGCGUCUGUACUGUGUUAAAAAAAUCUAGUUGGGCCACCAAUUAGAAAGAUUAUGUUACCUAAUAGAGAGCACCAGGGGAACAACAGAUCAAUAUGCAUGUUCUGCACUGUUUGCCUAUAGAACCAUACCGUUCAUAUGUCAUUGUGAGCCUCCAAAUUCUGUUAAGAUGAUGUAUUGCUUAAAGCCAUAACAUGCAUGUUAGCCAGCAAGAAUGCUGCAAUCCCUCUAAUAAAAAUGGGAAAUUACCCUACAAUUUGGGGAGGAAAAUAGUAGAUCCAUGGCUGUCUAAUUCUACACAAACAUGAUUAAACAAAGUCAGAUAGCAAUUUAUUAGAGAUGGAGGAACUUGCCGUAUGUGUUCCAUGUAUACACCAGAUAUUGCCUUGGAUGACCAGCUGCUUCACAACUCAUGCACCUGGCUUGGACCCAGAAAAAAUAAGAUGCCGUCCCAUGCCCAUUCUCUCGGUGGCGCUUAGAUCACUUUUCCUGGCCGAUGCCAGGGGCCUCAAUUCUCUCAACUGAACUGCAACAACAUUCUUUUUUGUAUGAUCCAGAUCAAAUAGAAAGAAUAUAAGAUAGGAUGGAACAAAACUGAACCAAAUAAAUUUUUAUCUGCAGUGUAUAGUAGCUAGCAUCAAAAUCAGCAAUUUGUAGGAAUCAAACUUAGGGUUCAUAAGAGAAAUAACAAAUAACUGCAUACAUCACUUGCUAGUUAGGUACAAAACCACACAGUAAAGGUCAUCCAUACCUAUUCUAGACCACGCAAUCCUCAGCAGUUCUCCAUGGCGUCUGUCCAGCAGGCGAAUGCAUCGCUGCAACAGCUUUGCCUGAGUGUCAUCGCAGAGAACUUUCCAUUGCAGCAGAUAUAAGCUUAGUUUUGAUACGACACAUCUGGCAUCUCUCCAGGUACGCCCCU
rnacentral:lncRNA from 1 species